rnacentral:rRNA from 1 species
AUGGCCAUACCAUGCUGAAUAUACCGGUUCUCGUUAGAUCACCGAAGUCAAGCAUCAUUGGGCGAGGUCAGUACUUGGGUGGGUGACCACCUGGGAACACCACGUGCCGUU